AUGUCCUAUCUCUCAGAUAUUAGUUAGUAGUCACCACUAUAGGCUCUUUAUCCGAGUGCUUCCUCUUUAGAGCAAUCUGUUAUCUUGCUUCGAAAAAGACUUUUAAACAUCAAAUUAGGCACAAAAAUAUUCAUUAGGUGCUUGCUAUUUUCUCGACUUUCUAUCCCCUUUCUAGCGCGUUAUCUACAAAUAAAGCUCUCCUCAUAGCCAAAUGUCUGGGCAAAACCAAUAUAUGGAUUCUGCGCAGUCUUAUCCCCAAGGGAAGACAGAUUCUUUCGAUAAUUCCUCCGCUAAUACCCGCCCAGGUACCACUCUCGAAGAACCGGUUCACGUUACCCUAUGGAGAGAUGUUCGAAUGAUCCUUGUCAAGCUAAAACAUGUACUCGCUCCGAAAUUUUGGUUGAAACAUAGUAAAGGUGCUGAAGUACUUCGAGAUUGGGAUCUAUGGGGGCCUCUGCUCAUUAGCCUCUUGUUAGCCAUAACAUUAUCUUCUAUGUCAAAAUCAAAUACUUCUCUCGUAUUUUCUGUUGGCUUUCUACUUCCUUGGAUCGGGGCUUUUUUUAUAACCGGAAACACAAUUUUACUAGGUGGAACUAUCAGUUUUUUUCAGGCAGUUAGUUUGUUGUGUUACUGUACUUUUCCGUUAUCGCUUGCCUCGUUCGUAUUACUUAUUUUCAGUUGGAUAUGGAAAAGCCCAUCUAUCACUCUCAACGUCUUCCGAGUUAUUAUCAGUACCAUCGCCAUGCUCUGGAGCACUUUAUCAAGCAUCGAGUUUUUUAGUGGUAUUGUAGCCUAUGGCCGCAGAGCGCUCGCGGUUUAUCCAUUGUUGCUUAUGUACACAUUUAUUUGGUGGAUGAUUUUGAAAUCGAGCACACCCGUCUCAGCUUCCCCUUCCUAGCCGCGUAAAUGUGCCUGCUAAUCUUAUACAUAUGAAUUUUCAGUUUGUGCUAAUCGUCUCGCCUUCGACGCAGCUAUCAAUAUAUACACAACUCAGGCAGAUAAAAAUGGACAAAUUGGAAGCAAAGAAAUUUUGUGUUUUUAUAUAAAAAAUAUUCGUAUGAAAAAUGCCAACAGCAUUAUGACUAGCACUACCGA